CUCUGAUGAAUUUCUUCAAUGGAAACAAUCUGCUCAUUGCAGGCUUCGUUGCAGUGUUGCAGUGAUGUCAUCAAAAGUGACGUAUACGUUGCUGAAAUCAAACAACGUCACGUCGUGAAAAAUUUAACACAGAAAAUCAUCAUUAGGAAUUUUGUCUAACCCUUUCAAAACAGAUCUUGUUGAAAAAUCAUGGAAUACUUUUGUAUAACGUAUGUUACAAGUAUAAUUUCUAAUUUUCAUAUAGAUAAUGUUAUUUUUAUAUUAUCAAAUAUUCAUACGCAGAGGGACAGUAAUACUUACUAGCGAUUGUUAGUCCGCUACCAACGACCCAUAACGGACAAACUGAACACCCUACAUCAGGUUCUUGCGAUAUCACAAACUCAAAAACCGUCCAGAGGAAAUAAACGAUGAAAGCAAAGGAGACUUUCAUGGUACCUGAAAUAUGUUAAUCAAAUGCUGAAAAAAGUGGAGGGGCAGCGAGGACACGUGUCUUCUUUCAGAAGUGGGUACUAAUUGAAAUACAAAAUUAAAACAGCACUGAAAGAAAGAACCACAAAUCCCGGGGCCACAAAGCUCACCUGAUCUACAGAGAUAAGAUGCAGAAGAUUUGAAUACAAACGAUCGUCCAACAAUAAUAAGUAUAUAUGCUACAUGUAUCAGGAUGCUUGCAUUUCAUUUUGAUAAAUCGUAAUUAUCUUAUUGCUAUAGGAAAGAUUUUAAAAGAUUCAAACAAGCAAUUCUUAAGACUUUUACUGUAUGCCAAAUCAGGCACAUGGGGUCACAAUUCAUAGAAAUCUGCACUCAGUUUUACUAUAAAACUGCAACAAUUGUAGAAAAUUGUGGUGUCCUUCUGGCUCCACAAGUCAAAAUUGAAUCUAUACUAAGUGAGGAUGCUUGCAUCAUUUGAAAAGAAGACUUUUAAAUAUAUUUCCUAUAUAUUCUUCCGUAAAAUUUUUAACCUCCAUUGAGUGGUUACCAAACUUAAAUGUAAAGUAUACUAAAAUUAAGUUCCAUGUAAACUUACUCUUUCCUCAAUGAGGAGAAUUUUAAAUAAGCCCCCCCCCCCCCCCCCCCCCUAAGUUUUACUACUGUAUUUCCUGAUAACUACAAGUAACUUAGAAGAGGACAUGGUCCUUCAUUGAAAAAAAAAUAUCUGAAUUUCCAUUACUCGAGUGCCAACUGUAAAGUUGAAAAUAUGAAAAAUCAUGCCAUACCAACAAGCAAGCAUUGGACAAAAGUUGAUCAGUAAAACUUAUUUGAGCCUUUGGGUUAAAUGAUCUAAUAUUCACUGCCUUUGAAGCCAUAAAACUGCAAUAAGCUGACUUUUGAUCAUAGUUUCAU